rnacentral:rRNA from 1 species
AUACGGAGGUGGUUAGCGUUGUUCGGAAUUACUGGGCGUAAAGCGUACGUAGGCGGACUGGAAAGUUGGGGGUGAAAUCCCGGGGCUCAACCCCGGAACUGCCUCCAAAACUUCCAAUCUAGAGAUCGAGAGAGGUGAGUGGAAUUCCAAGUGUAGAGGUGAAAUUCGUAGAUAUUUGGAGGAAUACCAGUGGCGAAGGCGGCUCACUGGCUCGAUACUGACGCUGAGGUACGAAAGCGUGGGGAGCAAACAGUAUUAGAAACCCUAGUAGUCC